rnacentral:rRNA from 1 species
UACGAAGGGGGCUAGCGUUGUUCGGAAUUACUGGGCGUAAAGCGCGCGCAGGCGGUUUCUCAAGUCAGUGGUGAAAGCCCGGAGCUCAACUCCGGAGCUGCCAUUGAAACUGUGAAACUUGAGGACGAGAGAGGUGAGUGGAAUUCCCAGUGUAGAGGUGAAAUUCGUAGAUAUUGGGAAGAACACCGGUGGCGAAGGCGGCUCACUGGCUCGUUUCUGACGCUCAGGCGCGACAGCGUGGGGAUCAAACAGG